CAGCAGCAGAUGACAUAUUCCUCGCGGAAGUAUCGCCAAUAGCCGACCGUAGAAAAUAGUAGAAAAUUACCUUAUGUGUACUAUAUCUAUAAGAACAAAAUAUCGAUAACUAUGUGUGACGUUUCUAAGGGGGGGGUGGGGGUGGGGGGGGUCUCCAGAGAAACGAACAUAUGACGUUUCUCGUGGACAGAAUCGAUAUGUGAGGCUUCCCU